CAGUGCAACGCCAGACAUUUUAUGCAGAAAUGAAUGCGGAAUUAUUACAGGAAAACGGAUCACGUCUGUGGAUUCAGAUAAAAUCAGGUAAUUGCUGUAAGUAUGUUCGUUAUGCUCAAUGGAAAGUUAUUGACAAAUAUCAUUCGCUAAUGCAGUAAAAAUGGGAAUAGAUCGGAGCAGUCACAAUCCAAAAUGAUGUCAACUUGCUAUCGUAAACUUUGGUUUACCAUCAAAUUUAAUUUGGUCAUCCAUUAAGACCGUUGGGACGUUGCUUGGUAGCGUAUAACAUAUCAUCAUGAAUCACCAUCCUUUGAAUAGAAAUGACGAUAUCUAUUAAGCUACCAGAGUCAUAGCUGUUCACCUUGUAGACCGAUGACGUCAUCCUGCUUGCUGAAUCACUCCUAUAUAAAGAAGACACUGGCUUUCAGUAUAGGAACCACUUGAGUCACAUAUGCGUAAACAGUAGAUUAUCCAUACGAAACAACUGAAAAGUUUCCUUUUAUUCCGAAAAUUGUAAUAAAUAUCCGUAGUAUUAGUAUAUUUAAUUUAAU